rnacentral:rRNA from 1 species
GUGGGGAAUAUUGGACAAUGGGCGCAAGCCUGAUCCAGCCAUGCCGCGUGAGUGAUGAAGGCCCUAGGGUUGUAAAGCUCUUUCACCGGAGAAGAUAAUGACGGUAUCCGGAGAAGAAGCCCCGGCUAACUUCGUGCCAGCAGCCGCGGUAAUACGAAGGGGGCUAGCGUUGUUCGGAAUUACUGGGCGUAAAGCGCACGUAGGCGGACAUUUAAGUCAGGGGUGAAAUCCCGGGGCUCAACCCCGGAACUGCCUUUGAUACUGGGUGUCUGGAGUAUGGAAGAGGUAAGUGGAAUUCCGGGUGUAGAGGUGAAAUUCGUAGAUAUUCGGAGGAACACCAGUGGCGAAGGCGGCUUACUGGUCCAUUACUGACGCUGAGGUGCGAAAGCGUGGGGAGCAAACAGGAUUAGAAACCCUGGUAGUCC